GGUUUAUAAUUAAGGAGAAGGGUAUUUACUUCGAUAAUGAGACCUAGCUACUUAAGACAGUGAUUCAGAUGAUCUGCUACGUGCAUCUAUUGGAUCCUGCAUUCUUCAGUUGUGGAUGCUGUGUAAGGCAUUGAGAUUCCCUAGGAGGCCUCUGCAUUCGCUGUAAGGAUCUUUUUAUGGAACUUCACUUUCCUCACUGCAAAUCCUGAUUAUGCCACAGCAAAGAGCUAGAUUGGAAGAGGAGCAGCCAGAGGUUGAACCAGCGACUUUACCCGCUACACCACAGCACUGCCCCGAGUUUUUGUAAGUAUGCUUAUAUGCCAUAUAGUCCU
rnacentral:lncRNA from 1 species